GCCAGCAUGGUGUAGUUGUUUGAACAUUCGACUGUGACUCUAGAGACCAGGAUUCAAAUCCCUGUUCAGUCA